rnacentral:siRNA from 1 species
AUCCGAGGAAAUAAGGUGGAGUCU